rnacentral:rRNA from 1 species
UACGAGGGGGGCAAGCGUUGUUCGGAAUUAUUGGGCGUAAAGGGCGCGUAGGCGGCCAACUAAGUCGGAUGUGAAAUCCCCAGGCUUAACCUGGGAACUGCAUCCGAUACUGGAUGGCUUGAAUUCGGGAGAGGGAUGCAGAAUUCCAGGUGUAGCGGUGAAAUGCGUAGAUAUCUGGAGGAAUACCGGUGGCGAAGGCGGCAUCCUGGACCGACAUUGACGCUGAUGAGCGAAAGCUAGGGGAGCAAACGGG